UACGAAGGGGGCUAGCGUUGUUCGGAAUCACUGGGCGUAAAGCGCACGCAGGCGGAUCGUUAAGUCAGGGGUGAAAUCCCGAGGCUCAACCUCGGAACUGCCUUUGAUACUGGCGAUCUUUGAGUCCGGGAGGAGGUGAGUGGAACUCCGGAGUGUAGAGGUGAAAUUCGUAGAUAUUCGCAAGAACACCAGUGGCGAAGGCGGCUCACUGGCCCGAUACUGACGCUGAGGUGCGAAAGCGUGGGGAGCAA
rnacentral:rRNA from 1 species